rnacentral:rRNA from 2 species
GUGGACGCCAGUCUGCGUGGAGCCGGCCUUGAAAUACCACCCUUUAAUGUUUGAUGUUCUAACGUGGACCCGUGAUCCGGGUUGCGGACAGUGUCUGGUGGGUAGUUUGACUGGGGCGGUCUCCUCCUAAAGAGUAACGGAGGAGCACGAAGGUUGGCUAAUCCUGGUCGGACAUCAGGAGGUUAGUGCAAUGGCAUAAGCCAGCUUGACUGCGAGCGUGACGGCGCGAGCAGGUGCGAAAGCAGGUCAUAGUGAUCCGGUGGUUCUGAAUGGAAGGGCCAUCGCUCAACGGAUAAAAGGUACUCCGGGGAUAACAGGCUGAUACCGCCCAAGAGUUCAUAUCGACGGCGGUGUUUGGCACCUCGAUGUCGGCUCAUCACAUCCUGGGGCUGAAGUAGGUCCCAAGGGUAUGGCUGUUCGCCAUUUAAAGUGGUACGCGAGCUGGGUUUAGAACGUCGUGAGACAGUUCGGUCCCUAUCUGCCGUGGGCGCUGGAGAACUGAGGGGGGCUGCUCCUAGUACGAGAGGACCGGAGUGGACGCAUCACUGGUGUUCGGGUUGUCAUGCCAAUGGCACUGCCCGGUAGCUAAAUGCGGAAGAGAUAAGUGCUGAAAGCAUCUAAGCACGAAACUUGCCCCGA